GUCUUAAGAAAUUCUACUUGGUUUGGUCCACAAGGCACAGCUCUGCUGAGGUUAAAUAGUCCUCCAUCAUCAUCAUCAUCAUCAUCUCAAAAUUGUGUAUUAUCAACUGAUCUUUUUUUUUUUUCUUUUUUACAGGAAAUGUCACCGCGUCGAAAUAUAGAGACCGAUGGAGACGAGAUAGCGAGCUUCUCACCCGAUGUCCUCGAUCUUUUCCGAAUAUUUUCCCCGAGACGUCGUCGGCACCGACAGAAUCCGGUAAGGGUUUCAUCCGGAGGCUGCUACGUACGUAUCAAGAAAAUAAAA